rnacentral:rRNA from 1 species
CUACGGGUUGCUGCAGUGGGGAAUAUUGGACAAUGGGGGAAACCCUGAUCCAGCAAUGCCGCGUGUGUGAAGAAGGCCUGCGGGUUGUAAAGCACUUUCGGUUGGGAGGACUGCUUCUAGCACUAAUAUUGUUGGAAGUUGACGUUACCUUCAGAAGAAGCACCGGCUAACUCCGUGCCAGCAGCCGCGGUAAUACGGAGGGUGCAAGCGUGAAUCGGAAUUACUGGGCGUAAAGCGCGCGUAGGCGGCUAGAUCAGUCGGGUGUGAAAGCCCCGGGCUUAACCUGGGAACUGCAUCCGAUACUGUCUAGCUUGAGUACAGGAGAGGAGAGUGGAAUUCCACAUGUAGCGGUGAAAUGCGUAGAUAUGUGGAGGAACACCAAUGGCGAAGGCAGCUCUCUGGCCUGAUAUUGACGCUGAGGUGCGAAAGCGUGGGGAGCAAACAGGAUUAGAUACCCUCGUAGUC